CCGUCUUUUUUUUUCAGUGAAUAUUUUUGAGAUCUACAGUGUGUCAGACUUGGAGAAAAAAACGUGACUGAGAUCCAGUCUUUGUCUAUUUGGGACCCAUAAUAGAGACAUAGUCAUGUCAACAAAUGUUUGCAAUGUGGAGUGAGCACACAAUGGAGAGGAGACAGAGGCUGAGAGAGGAUCACAGUACAGCCAUAUCAGACUUGUGGACCCCUUUCAAAGACCAAGAAGACUGAUUUCCCAUUCCCUUGGUUAAAUGCUGGCUUAGACUUGGAUUCAGGCAUUACUCAGGCACCUGAAAUGGAAGCCUUCUUGGCCAGGGCCCUGCAGCAUGGAGGUGACUCUAGUGACAAUGAGUGACAACUUCAGACAUUUUAGAGGACUCCAAGUUUCCUCCAAAGUGUCUCCCAUACACCGAGAGUAAAGUUAGAAGUCCCAAAAUGGAGAACCAUGAAGUGUUGCUGUGGUCGAACUAAUUAAGUGGCAAUUUUCUGAUAUCACCAGCCGGCUAGUCAAGGGAAUAAUUCUUCUCUCCAUAGGUGAAGAAUUUAGAUGGAUUGAUGGCAUUGGCUGAAAUAAAUCAGUGGAUGAGUGAUUACAGGAUUUGAGUGUGGUUAAGUCAAGAUUAAUGCCACUAAUUCCUGAGGCCGAAGGAGAUGAAUGUCACCCGUCAAUGAACUUCAGCUCAAGGUGUGCCGGCUUCUAGCCAGCAGUUCAAAUUCCUCGGGUACACUCAAGCACAUACAGGAUCCCAACCAGAAUGCAGUGUUCCCAUAUGGCACUGUGAGGGCGAGAAGUAAACACCAGUGAGGAUGGAGGGCUUGAGAUACGGAGAAUAAAACACUCAAUGCCAGUGAGCUGCUUUUCACUAACAUUCUCAAGUCACUGGGGGGCAAUUUAGGCAGGAGCCUUAACGAGAUCAUUUACCUUUACCUACACCAGAACCAUUAUCUUAAUUGCCACUCAGCCUUCAUGAAAGUGUUUAUGGGUAAACAGUUUUCACCAAGGGAGUUAUUAACUACCCCCUGGAUUACCAUAGGAUCAGGAAUCAUAAAAAUAGUAGCAAUUGUAGUCAUAAUAACCUAUGUUGUUUAGUAAGUGUCCACUAUAAAUGUCUUAA